rnacentral:misc_RNA from 1 species
UCACCAAUCCAGCCCGGCUGGGUGUUGGGCGCCGCGGCUCCUCGCCGCCCGCCUCAAUGUCGCCGGCCACGCCGUCCGUCCCCUCGCGUUGUGGCAUCUUGUCUCGCGUCGGUGGCCGCUCGGAGUGCGCCGCUCAACCUCUUUUUUCA